CCUACGGGUGGCAGCAGUGAGGAAUAUUGGUCAAUGGACGAGAGUCUGAACCAGCCAAGUAGCGUGAAGGAUGACUGCCCUAUGUGUUGUAAACUUCUUUUGUCUGGGAAUAAAGUUCAGUACGUAUACUGUGUUGUAUGUACCAUAUGAAUAAGGAUCGGCUAACUCCGUGCCAGCAGCCGCGGUAAUACGGAGGAUCCGAGCGUUAUCCGGAUUUAUUGGGUUUAAAGGGUGCGCAGGCGGCCUGUUAAGUCAGCGGUAAAAGCCCGGGGCUCAACCCCGGCCCGCCGUUGAAACUGGCGGGCUCGAGUUGGAGAGAAGUAUGCGGAAUGCGCGGUGUAGCGGUGAAAUGCAUAGAUAUCGCGCAGAACUCCGAUUGCGAAGGCAGCAUGCCGGCUCCACACUGACGCUGAGGCACGAAAGCGUGGGUAUCGAACAGGAUUAGAUACCCGAGUAGUC
rnacentral:rRNA from 1 species